AGCGCUGAAGCUGUGCCACUGUGCGGGAAGGAAUGCACAAUUCACAGGGCUACAGAGAUAGCACAAGAAAAGGGAGCAUGACUCAGUUCUCUCUCAGAAGUGCUGUCUUGGGAGGCUCCAUUCCAGCUACGCCCUAACACAAAAUCCACAGGAGGCUUCCAGGUCAGAAAGCCAAGGUUGGAGCUGAGCUACUGAAGGGGGAUCCUUGUAAAGAACUAAUCAUAGCCCUACAAACACUGUGACAUGCCAUGGCACAGGGCUUGAGGCAGUAGUAAUGGAGGAGUCUGAAUAUCUGACUUUUCUUCCAAAGGAGAAACAAGACAAACUUCAAGAAAACAAUGUCUUCUUUUGCCAUCCCAAGAGUGGUUUUGCCUGCAGGUCUCUGGCUCCCUGAACAGCAUUAUGGGAUUCUCAUUUAAAUCACUUGAAAACUCUGCCUCACCCUGGCUGGACCAAGGAAUUGAGCUAUUAGUUUUGUACAAUGAAAGUAACUGAUGUUUGUGCAAGUCAUUUCUAGUUCCCCUUGGCACAUUGAUUUUGUAGCUUUUCCUUUUACUAUUACUGAAAAAUCAGAGAGCAAAUGAGAGAAUAUAAAACCUGCACAAUCUGAAUGAG